UGCCAGACUCCUACGGGAGGCAGCAGUGGGGAAUAUUGCACAAUGGGGGAAACCCUGAUGCAGCGACGCCGCGUGAGCGAUGAAGUAUUUCGGUAUGUAAAGCUCUAUCAGUAGGGAAGAAAAUGACGGUACCUGACUAAGAAGCCCCGGCUAACUACGUGCCAGCAGCCGCGGUAAUACGUAGGGGGCAAGCGUUAUCCGGAUUUACUGGGUGUAAAGGGAGCGUAGACGGCUGUGCAAGCCAGAUGUGAAAGCCCGGGGCUCAACCCCGGGACUGCAUUUGGAACUGUGUGGCUGGAGUGUCGGAGAGGCAGGCGGAAUUCCUAGUGUAGCGGUGAAAUGCGUAGAUAUUAGGAGGAACACCAGUGGCGAAGGCGGCUUGCUGGACGGUAACUGACGUUGAGGCUCGAAAGCGUGGGGAGCAAACAGGAUUAGAUACCCCGGUA
rnacentral:rRNA from 1 species